rnacentral:rRNA from 1 species
CCUACGGGGGGCAGCAGUGAGGAAUAUUGGUCAAUGGGCGCGAGCCUGAACCAGCCAAGUAGCGUGAAGGAUGGCUGUCCUACGGGUUGUAAACCUCUUUUAUAAAGGAAUAAAGUGAGGCACGUGUGCCAUUUUGUAUGUACUUUAUGAAUAAGGAUCGGCUAACUCCGUGCCAGCAGCCGCGGUAAUACGGAGGAUCCGAGUGUUAUCCGGAUUUAUUGGGUUUAAAGGGUGCGUAGAUGGGUUGUUAAGUCAGUUGUGAAAGUUUGCGGCUCAACCGUAAAAUUGCAGUUGAUACUGGCAGUCUUGAGUACAGUUGAGGUAGGCGGAAUUCGUGGUGUAGCGGUGAAAUGCUUAGAUAUCACGAAGAACUCCGAUUGCGAAGGCAGCUUACUAAACUACCACUGACGUUGAUGCACGAAAGUGUGGGGAUCAAACAGGAUUAGAUACCCGAGUAGUC